GAUGCGGUGGCAGGGACAAAAGCCAGGGGAAGGUGGCUUCUAUUCUACAAAGCCCUUUAGGGAAGGGGGGAGUCAGGCCGCCCUCACCCAGUGCAGGUCCGUCACGAUGGUCACCCAGAGCACUCACGCAGAAAGCCAGCUUGCAGCCGCCAGCCCUGAGGAUGCCGCCCCCAAAGGGCUCAUUGCUCUAAUCACCCGUCCAGGGGCUUGAGGCAAAGCUCCAAGACAGACCUGUAGCAGCAUGGCCCAAAAAGUUCCUCUGCUGCCCCAGUCCCAUACCUGCCUGAGGUACGGGGGUUCAGGCUGAGUCGGCUGACCUGGAGUCAUCUGGAAGCCUUGUCAGAAAUGCAGAUUCUGCAGUGCUGUUCCCAGAGGAUGAGAUUCAGCAGAACUGGGUGUUGGAUAUUAUAUGAAGAGAUUUGCAAGUGUUAUUUUACGUAAUUCGCACUUUACAAAGGAGGAAACUGCAGCGCAGGUACCAAGGUUGCCCCAUCUCGGUCCAGGCCUGCUCCCGGCGAGCCACUCGCCCUUGACCACGCCUCCUCUCUCCUGAUUGGCUGUCAGGCAUGAGUCGUGAGUACCCCCAUGGACGCUCAGAAUGGCUAACAUUCUUUUGAGCAAUAACUAUGUGUGCUAUGAGCUAAACACUUUACUUGAAUUCGUUCAUUUAAUUUUUGCUAUCACCUCAUGAGAUGGGAAUGAUUAUUUUCAUCUCCAGCUCUCAGGGGAGG
rnacentral:lncRNA from 10 species